UGAAUACGAGACGCUAAGGCGUCGAAGUAGUGUAUAUCAGACUUCCAAGAAAAGCUUGCACUGUCAUAGAUAAAAAAUGCCUGUACCAUAACCGACACAGGUGGGUAGGUAGAGUAUACUAAGGGGCGCGAGAUAACUCUCUCUAAGGAACUCGGCAAAAUAACUCCGUAACUUCGGGAGAAGGAGUGCCUUAUUUAUAAGGUUGCAAUAACAAGAUCCAAGCAACUGUUUAUCAAAAACACAGGUCUCCGCUAAGUCGUAAGACGAUGUAUGGGGGCUGACGCCUGCCCAGUGCCAGAAGGUUAAAGAAGUUGGUUAGCAAUUGCGAAGCUGAUAACUGAAGCCCUGGUGAACGGCGGCCGUAACAAUAACGGUCCUAAGGUAGCGAAAUUCCUUGUCGGGUAAGUUCCGACCCGCACGAAAGGCGUAAUGAUUUGGAUACUGUCUCGGAGAGGGGCUCGGUGAAAUAGACUUGUCUGUGAAGAUGCGGACUACCUGCACCAGGACAGAAAGACCCUAUGAAGCUUUACUGUAACUUGAAAUUGAAAUUGGACUUUAUUCGCGCAGCAUAGGUGGGAGGCGUUGAUUAUAAUCUUGCGGGAUUAUUGGAGCCAUCAGUGAGAUACCACUCUUGUAAUGUUAGAUUUCUAACUUUGAAUCAUUAUCUGGUCAAAGAACAGUUUCAGGCGGGCAGUUUGACUGGGGCGGUCGCCUCCUAAAUGGUAACGGAGGCGUACAAAGGUUUCCUCUGAACGGUUAGAAAUCGUAUCUAGAGUGUAAAGGCAUAAGGAAGCUUGACUGUGAGACCUACAAGUCGAGCAGGGACGAAAGUCGGUCUUAGUGAUCUGACGGUACUGAGUGGAAAGGCCGUCACUCAACGGAUAAAAGUUACUCUAAGGAUAACAGGCUGAUCUCCCCCAAGAGUUCACAUCGACGGGGAGGUUUGGCACCUCGAUGUCGGCUCAUCGCAUCCUGGGGCGGUAGUACGUCCCAAGGGUUGGGCUGUUCGCCCAUGGAAGCGGUACGCGAGCUGGGUUCAGAACGUCGUGAGACAGUUCGGUCCAUAUCCGGUGUAGGCGUUAGAAUAUUGAGAGGAGCCUUCUUUAGUACGAGAGGACCGAGAAGGACAUACCUCUGGUGUACCAGUUAUCGUGCCAACGGUAAACGCUGGGUAGCUAUGUAUGGAGUGGAUAACCGCUGAAAGCAUCUAAGUGGGAAGCCCACCUCAAGAUAAG
rnacentral:rRNA from 1 species